rnacentral:rRNA from 1 species
GAUGAACGCUGGCGGCGUGCUUAACACAUGCAAGUCGAGCGGAGAUUAUUAGGGGAAACCCUUCGGGGCGGAACCUGAUAAUCUUAGCGGCGGACGGGUGAGUAACGCGUGGGUAAUCUGCCUCAUACAGGGGAAUAACUGUGAGAAAUCACAGCUAAAACCGCAUGAGCUCACGAUACGGCAUCGUAAAGUGAGAAAAACUCCGGUGGUAUGAGAGGAGCCCGCGUCUGAUUAGCUAGUUGGUGGGGUAAAGGCUCACCAAGGCGACGAUCAGUAGCCGGCCUGAGAGGGUGAACGGCCACAUUGGGACUGAGACACGGCCCAAACUCCUACGGGAGGCAGCAGUGGGGAAUAUUGCACAAUGGGGGAAACCCUGAUGCAGCGACGCCGCGUGGAGGACGAAGGAUUUCGGUUCGUAAACUCCUAUCGACGGGGAAGAAAGAAAUGACGGUACCCGAAUAAGAAGCACCGGCUAACUACGUGCCAGCAGCCGCGGUAAUACGUAGGGUGCAAGCGUUAUCCGGAAUUACUGGGUGUAAAGGGUGAGUAGGCGGUUAAAUAAGCCAUAUGUGAAAGGCGGGGGCUCAACCCCCGACAUGCAUAAGGAACUGUUUGACUAGAGUGCAGGAGAGGUAAGCGGAAUUCCUAGUGUAGCGGUGAAAUGCGUAGAUAUUAGGAGGAACACCAGUGGCGAAGGCGGCUUACUGGACUGAAACUGACGCUGAGGCACGAAAGCGUGGGGGAGCGAACAGGAUUAGAUACCCUGGUAGUCCACGCCGUAAACGAUGAGUGCUAGGGUGUCGGGGGGAGACCCUCGGUGCCGGAGCAAACGCAAUAAGCACUCCACCUGGGGAGUACGGCCGCAAGGUUGAAACUCAAAGGAAUUGACGGGGGCCCGCACAAGCGGUGGAGCAUGUGUUUAAUUCGAAGCAACGCGAAGAACCUUACCAAGGCUUGACAUCCCCUCGAAUAUACCAGAGAUGGUAUAGUCCUUCGGGACGAGGGUGACAGGUGGUGCAUGGUUGUCGUCAGCUCGUGUCGUGAGAUGUUGGGUUAAGUCCCGCAACGAGCGCAACCCCUAUUGUUAGUAGCCAGCGAGUAAGGUCGGGCACACUAGCGAGACUGCCGUGGAUAACACGGAGGAAGGUGGGGACGACGUCAAAUCAUCAUGCCCCUUAUGUCUUGGGCUACACACGUGCUACAAUGGCAGGUACAAAGAGAAGCGAGGUCGUGAGGCGGAGCAAAUCUCAAAAAAGCUGUCACAGUUCGGAUUGUAGUCUGCAACUCGACUACAUGAAGCUGGAAUCGCUAGUAAUCGCGAAUCAGAAUGUCGCGGUGAAUACGUUCCCGGGCCUUGUACACACCGCCCGUCACACCAUGGGAGUUGGUAGCGCCCAACGUACGUGACCUAACCGAAAGGAAGGAGCGUCCUAAGGCGAGAUCAGCGACUGGGGUG